rnacentral:misc_RNA from 1 species
AAAGUCGUAACAAGGUUUCCGUAGGUGAACCUGCGGAAGGAUCAUUAAUGAAUAACUAUGGUGUUGGUUGUUGCUGGCUUCUAGGAGCAUGUGCACGCCCGCCAUUCUUAUCUUUCCACCUGUGCACAUUAUGUAGGUCUGGAUAACUCUCGCUCUCGGGCGGAUACAGGGACUGUCGCUUGCGACUCUCCUUGAAUUUCCAGAUCUAUGUAUUUACAUACCCCAAUUGUAUGAUGAAGAAUGUAGUCAAUGGGCUUUUUGCCUAUAAAACAAUAUACAACUUUCAGCAACGGAUCUCUUGGCUCUC